AUUGAACGCUGGCGGCAGGCCUAACACAUGCAAGUCGAGCGAGCGGCGGACGGGUGAGUAAUGUAUGGGGACUGUGCGAUAGAGGGGGAUAACUACUGGAAACGGUAGCUAAUACCGCAUCCUAUCGGACUACGCAUAUGGGGUUAGAUGGUAGGUGAGGUACUGGCGCACCUAGGCGACGAACCCUAGCUGGUCUGAGAGGAUGAUCAGCCACACUGGGACUGAGACACGGCCCAGACGCCUACGGAGGCAGCAGUGGGGAAUAUUGCACAAUGGGCGAAAGCCGGAGGCAGCCAUGCCGCGUGUAUGAAGAAGGCCCUAGGGUUGUAAAGUACUUUCAGUCGGGAGGCGUUACCUACAGAAGAAGCACCGGCUAACUCCGUGCCAGCAGCCGCGGUAAUUC
rnacentral:rRNA from 1 species